rnacentral:rRNA from 1 species
CUAACACAUGCAAGUCGAACGGUAGCACAGGAGAGCUUGCUCUCGGGUGACGAGUGGCGGACGGGUGAGUAAUGUCUGGGAAACUGCCCGAUGGAGGGGGAUAACUACUGGAAACGGUAGCUAAUACCGCAUAACGUCGCAAGACCAAAGAGGGGGACCUUCGGGCCUCUUGCCAUCGGAUGUGCCCAGAUGGGAUUAGCUAGUAGGUGGGGUAACGGCUCACCUAGGCGACGAUCCCUAGCUGGUCUGAGAGGAUGACCAGCCACACUGGAACUGAGACACGGUCCAGACUCCUACGGGAGGCAGCAGUGGGGAACAUUGCACAAUGGGCGCAAGCCUGAUGCAGCCAUGCCGCGUGUAUGAAGAAGGCCUUCGGGUUGUAAGGUACUUUCAGCGAGGAGGAAGGCAUUAAGGUUAAUAACCUUGGUGAUUGACGUUACUCGCAGAAGAAGCACCGGCUAACUCCGUGCCAGCAGCCGCGGUAAUACGGAGGGUGCAAGCGUUAAUCGGAAUUACUGGGCGUAAAGCGCACGCAGGCGGUCUGUCAAGUCGGAUGUGAAAUCCCCGGGCUCAACCUGGGAACUGCAUCCGAAACUGGCAGGCUAGAGUCUUGUAGAGGGGGGUAGAAUUCCAGGUGUAGCGGUGAAAUGCGUAGAGAUCUGGA